AAACGGGUGCGGAACACGUACGCAACCUUCCCAAAACUGGUGAAUAGCCCUCCGAAAGGAGGAUUAAUACACCGUAAGAUAAUGAGGUGGCAUCACUUUAUUAUUAUAGCUACGGCGGUUUUGGAUGGGCGUGCGCCUGAUUAGGUAGUUGGCGGGGUAACGGCCCACCAAGCCUGCGAUCAGUAACUGGUGUGAGAGCACGACCAGUCACACGGGCACUGAGACACGGGCCCG
rnacentral:rRNA from 1 species